GAUGUACGCUGGCGGCGUGCCUAAUACAUGCAAGUCGAGCGAAGCGGGGACGGGUUAGUACCACGUGGAUAACCUCCUAUCAGACUGGGAUCACGUCGGGAAACCGGAGCUAAACCGGAUACUUAUAGAUGGAUCCGCGCUGCAUUAGCUAGUUGGUAAGGUAACGGCUUACCAAGGCAACGCUGCAUAGCCGACGUGAGAGGGGGAUCGUGAAAGAUGGAACUGAGACAAGGUCCAGACUCCUACGGGAGGCAGCAGUAGGGAAGCGACCGCAGAAGGCGAAAGCCGGGCGGAGCGACGCCGCGUCAGUGGUGAAGAUUUUCGGAUCGUAAUACUCUGUGGUCAGAGAAGCGGUAACUAACCAGAAAGCCACAGCUGACUACGAGACAGCAGCCGCGGUAAUAC
rnacentral:rRNA from 1 species